rnacentral:tRNA from 1 species
UCUAAAGUGGCAGAAUAAUGCCCAAGAUUUAGGAUCUUGUUUAUGGAUUUAUAAUUAUCCCUUUAGAA